UUUCAGAUCUAGAAGAGCAGAGUAGUCAGCUAGUUUUCUGUCAAAGAGAGUUAACAUAUGGUGAGAGUUAAUCAGAAGACGCUGAUGAAUAUGGGCUUGGAAUGAUCAUUGUUGGUGACAUUUAGCCAGCAACGGGGUUGUUUCCGUUAAACAAACAGACUAUUGAUUGAUAGUCGCAGAGGCUACUUAUGCAAGUAAGUAGUGAAAUAAAGGUGGUAACACGAGCACUCGUCCUUUUA
rnacentral:ncRNA from 1 species